rnacentral:lncRNA from 1 species
UAGGAUGAUGAAUGAUGUAUGAACCUUGGUUAUUAUCUAUGAAAUAUCCUAUUUGCCUUAGUCAAUGUUGGAACUUCAAAACUAAGAAAAAGACUUAGAAUUUUUUAACACUUGAACUUGAAUAUGUAAAUGAAACUGGUUGCAUUGUUUGGUGAGGCCGCGGUCUGGUUGGAUUGGGGAAUCCAGGAUCGGGUCUUACAAGUUG